GACGAACGCUGGCGGCGCGCUUAACACAUGCAAGUCGAACGGAAAGGCCUGCUUUCCCUUGUGGUUUGCGGGUACUCGAGUGGCGAACGGGUGAGUAACACGUGAGUGAUCUGCCCCCAACUUGGGUAUAAGCCUGGGAAACUGGGUCUAAUUCCCGAUAGGACUGCAGGGUGGUGCCUGUGGUGGAACACGAUUUUCUAGUGGUUGUGGAUGAGCUCGCGGCCUAUCAGCUUGUUGGUGGGGUAAUGGCCUACCAAGGCGGCGACGGGUAGCCGGCCUGAGAGGGUGGACGGCCACAUUGGGACUGAGAUACGGCCCAGACUCCUACGGGAGGCAGCAGUGGGGAAUAUUGCACAAUGGGCGGAAGCCUGAUGCAGCGACGCCGCGUGGGGGAUGACGGCCUUCGGGUUGUAAACUCCUUUCGACCGCGAGGAAGCCACCUGGUUGGAAGGGUGGUGACGGUAGUGGUAGAAGAAGCACCGGCUAACUACGUG
rnacentral:rRNA from 1 species